GCCGUAGAGCCAGCAGGGUACUCAUAGGUAGCCAUGUUGCCAGAGGGAGGGGGUCACCCAGCCCACAAUGGUGUCACACGUCCAUUAUUAUGGUCCAGUAGCGGGUAGAGCCCCAGAAAUAUGGAUUGGGGGGGGUUCACCCCCCCCCAGUAAUAACAGGUCUGAAUGUGGGGCCAGUAGCCCCCCUGAGGGGUAGGAGGGUCCAUAUAGCGAGAAGCUGGCUCACAGACCACUCAGGUAUUAUAUUAGGAUACACUUUUG